AGUACAUCUGUCCUGAAAUUAAGUUUGGUCACUCGAAAAGGUGACCAAACUUGAUUUCAGGACAGAUGUACU
rnacentral:miRNA from 1 species